CGCGUUUAAUAGGCGUUUCCUUUUGGGGGUAGGUACAGGGUUGUGCAUGUGCUUUUUUUUUUUUAUUGGAGAGGUCUUUUCUAAUAUUCACUAAAAUCCUCCAUUAUACCUUUAAGGUUUGCUUUAGAAAGAAAAGAGUUUUAACAUUAACUGAAUUAGUAAUAUCUUGGUUCUGGAUAAUUGAAUCUAAUAAAAUUCUUCAUGCAAAACAUCCGUUUAAAAAAAAAAAAUUAAUCAUUGUAGUGGUAUAGUAGCAGAAAACGUAAAAUAAAAAGAAAAAAUAUUCAAUGCCAAAAAGAAGAAAAACCCAGGUUAUCAAGAGAUGAAAAAAAAAAACAGAUGUGUUUAGUUUUUGGGGGGAUACUAACCAUGUCGAGUUCUUCCCAUUCAUCGUUUGCUGCUGUUGUUGUCGAUCCUUCGUCUGCCUCAUCCUUCAGCUGCUUCUCCUGAUCUUUAACCUCGGUUUCCUCCUCCUUGUCUGAACCCAGAGCUGUUUUAUCAGGAACCUCUGUCAAACGACCCUCCGAAUCUUCUUCCUUUUUCGUCUCAUCUUUCUGGACCGCCUCUAAAACCUUUUUUUCUCCUGAUGAAUCUGUUGUGUCCUCCUGUUUAGAUUCCUCCUCAGGCACCUCAAUGAAGCUCUCUGUGGAAAACAGAAACUUUAAAUCUGCUGAUAAAUGAAAUAGUGGUGUCAAGAAUUGUGUCUAACUUUACCUUCAGAAUCACUUUCCUCACUCUUCUCUGACUUCAGUUCAACUCUCUUGGGUUCCUCGGGGCCUUCAGUGAGGGGAUCCCUCCUCUUAUCCAGAGCGCUGUCCUCAGCCUCAGCGCUUGGCGGGGCGAUGGAUGGCUCCUGACCGGAUGCAGAAACACAUAACUCGCGCUCAGUCUCUUUCUGCUCCGGCUCGUUUUGUUUAUUUGCUUCCUCCUCUGACUCCUUCUCUGUUUUGGAACUUUUUCCAAGUGCUGCAGACCGAAUAGCUUUAUUUCUCUGUCCGAUCACUUCCUCCAUCUCAUCCUCUGAGCUACUGCCAAGUAAACUAUCAUCCAUUUGUAAACAUUGGUGUGCGGCGUUUUGAGCAAAGUCCAAGCCCUCCUUCAGCGAAGGCCCCGUCUCCUCUUCCUCCUCAGAGCUGCUGCUCUCCACUGCUCCCACAGGACGCGGGAGACAUGUCUGGAGUGUGGAGGCUGAGACACUAGCUUCAUUCUCCUCUUCAGUUAAUGCUUGCUGGAUUGCUAGGAGUGUGCGUGGAGACACUCUUCCAUCCUUUUUAUCUGGGUCCUCUUCCUCCGAGCUGUCGCUCAUAGCAGCCUGAAUUGCCUUGAGUGUCCGAGGGGACGGUGGAGAUGGUUUCGACACGGUAGGGGGGGAAACUUCAGAGCAGGUUGCUCUUACUUCAUCUUUCUCAUCGUCUUCAUCUCCAGUGACGGGUCGCCAAAGGGGCUCCGGUUUGUCAGCGUUCCUCUUGCUGCAGCCCGUCAGGGAGCUGCCAGACCAGGGUGCAGCUGCAGGUCGGCUUUCUGAGGUUGGUUCGUUCUUUUUAGAGCCUGCAUGCAUAGAAAGUAAAGAGCUGAAUUCUACAUAAAAUUAACAGCAGGAAAUCAAAAUAAUAACCAAAUCUAAGGUUGGAUUGGGAACCUUUGAAAUCGACAUGACUUACGAUAUUUCAAUGUGAGCAAAAUUGUUAUUUAGUAAAAAUGUGCUGUACUUUUAAUCAAACAUUGAAUAAGCCCUGUUAGCAAUUAAUAUUCCCAUAAGAGACUAAUCAUAAACCAGAUGCUUAAUCUGCCUCACCUUUGAUCAGUAUAUAGUGUGAGUGGUCUUCUGAAAGCAGCCGGUUUGACUCCACGCUGUGAUUCUGCUGAUCUCCGUCCUGCUGGCCGAGCUGCGGGGCGCUGCCGGCGCUACGCUGGCACAUCUCCUUCUCAACGCCCUCCAGACGCUGGUUCAGUCGGUUCCUCUGCAGCAGGCCGGCCAACUGGAACUGCGAAAAGUCUCUGGAACGCUAAAAGAGGAGGAAAGGAUCUCGUGUUUCAUCUCUGGAGGCAGGUUGGCGAAAUCCUCAGAGUUGAUGUCCACCGAGUUUGGGUCCUCAUACAGCUCUUCGUGAAACUGAGUCAUCAAGGAAGAGUUUACACAAAACGUUUAGGCACACGGAAAUCUUAGGAAUUAAAUAUAUUUGGGAGAUGACGAACAAAUUAGAAAGAAAAUGUAGUUGAAGCCCCUUUUUCAUUGAGUCCUCCUCAAUUUUUUUAAUAAUCUCAAGUUUGGUGAAAUCUUAGAAAAAAAAAACAAAACAAAAA